UACGUAGGAGGCAAGCGUUGUCCGGAAUUACUGGGCGUAAAGCGCGUGUAGGUGGUGGGACAAGUCUGCUGUGAAAGCGCCUGGCUUAACCGGGCGAGGUCGGCGGAAACUGUCCGACUCGAGGAUGGUAGAGGGGGGUGGAAUUCCCGGUGUAGUGGUGAAAUGCGUAGAGAUCGGGAGGAACACCUGUGGCGAAGGCGGCCCCCUGGGCCGGCCCUGACACUGAGACGCGAAGGCGUGGGGAGCGAACGGG
rnacentral:rRNA from 1 species